UGGGGAAUUUUGGACAAUGGGCGAAAGCCUGAUCCAGCAAUGCCGCGUGUGUGAAGAAGGCCUUCGGGUUGUAAAGCACUUUUGUCCGGAAAGAAAUCCUUGGCUCUAAUACAGUCGGGGGAUGACGGUACCGGAAGAAUAAGCACCGGCUAACUACGUGCCAGCAGCCGCGGUAAUACGUAGGGUGCAAGCGUUAAUCGGAAUUACUGGGCGUAAAGCGUGCGCAGGCGGUUUGCUAAGACCGAUGUGAAAUCCCCGGGCUCAACCUGGGAACUGCAUUGGUGACUGGCAGGCUAGAGUAUGGCAGAGGGGGGUAGAAUUCCACGUGUAGCAGUGAAAUGCGUAGAGAUGUGGAGGAAUACCGAUGGCGAAGGCAGCCCCCUGGGCCAAUACUGACGCUCAUGCACGAAAGCGUGGGGAGCAAACAGGGUUAGAUACCCUGGUAGUCCACGCCCUAAACGAUGUCAACUAGUUGUUGGGGAUUCAUUUCCUUAGUAACGUAGCUAACGCGUGAAGUUGACCGCCUGGGGGAGUACGGUCGCAAGAUUAAAACUUAAAGGAAUUGACGGGGUCAUAGCUGUUUCCU
rnacentral:rRNA from 1 species